AGACAGGUGCUGCAUGGCUGUCGUCAGCUCGUGUUGUGAAAUGUUGGGUUAAGUCCCGCAACGAGCGCAACCCUUAUCCUUUGUUGCCAGCGGUCCGGCCGGGAACUCAAAGGAGACUGCCAGUGAUAAACUGGAGGAAGGUGGGGAUGACGUCAAGUCAUCAUGGCCCUUACGACCAGGGCUACACACGUGCUACAAUGGCAUAUACAAAGAGAAGCGACCUCGCGAGAGCAAGCGGACCUCAUAAAGUAUGUCGUAGUCCGGAUUGGAGUCUGCAACUCGACUCCAUGAAGUCGGAAUCGCUAGUAAUCGUAGAUCAGAAUGCUACGGUGAAUACGUUCCCGGGCCUUGUACACACCGCCCGUCACACCAUGGGAGUGGGUUGCAAAAGAAGUAGGUAGCUUAACCUUCGGGAGGGCGCUUACCACUUUGUGAUUCAUGACUGGGGUGAAGUCGUAACAAGGUAACCGUAGGGGAACCUGCGGUUGGAUCACCUCCUU
rnacentral:rRNA from 2 species